rnacentral:rRNA from 1 species
UACGUAGGGUGCAAGCGUUAAUCGGAAUUACUGGGCGUAAAGCGUGCGCAGGCGGUUUUGUAAGUCUGACGUGAAAUCCCCGGGCUCAACCUGGGAAUUGCGUUGGAGACUGCAAGGCUGGAGUCUGGCAGAGGGGGGUAGAAUUCCACGUGUAGCAGUGAAAUGCGUAGAGAUGUGGAGGAACACCGAUGGCGAAGGCGGCAUCCUGGACCAACACUGACGCUGAGGAGCGAAAGCCAGGGGAGCAAACGGG